rnacentral:misc_RNA from 1 species
GAAAUGCGAUAAGUAAUGUGAAUUGCAGAAUUCAGUGAAUCAUCGAAUCUUUGAACGCAGCUUGCGCUCCUUGGUAUUCCUUGGAGCAUGCCUGUUUGAGUAUCAUGAAAUCUUCAAAGUAAAUCUUUUGUUAACUCAAUUGGUUUCUACUUUGGUAUUGGAGGUCUUUGCAGCUUCACACCUGCUCCUCUUUGUUCAUUAGCUGGAUCUCAGUGUUAUGCUUGGUUCUACUCGGCGUGAUAAGUUAUCUAUCGCUGAGGACACUGUAAAAGGUGGCCAAGGUAAAUGCAGAUGAACCGCUUCUAAUAGUCCAUUGACUUGGACAAUACUUUUAUGAUCUGAUCUCAAAUCAGGUAGGACUACCCGCUGAACUUAAGC